rnacentral:rRNA from 1 species
CCCAAAUUAACUGUAGUACGGCGUAAAGAGUGGCACCAUGCUAUCCUGCCAACUAAGAUCAAAAUGCAACUAAGCCGUCAUAAGCCAAAGAUGCAUCUAAAACCACCCUCAACACGAUCUUAGCCUCUCCGACUAAUUAAACCCCACGAAAGCUAGGGCACAAACUGGGAUUAGAUACCCCACUAUGCCUAGCCCUAAAUCUUGAUACUUCCUACCACUAAAGUAUCCGCCCGAGAACUACGAGCACAAACGCUUAAAACUCUAAGGACUUGGCGGUGCCCCAGACCCACCUAGAGGAGCCUGUUCUAUAAUCGAUAACCCACGAUACACCCAACCACCCCUUGCCAAAACAGCCUAUAUACCGCCGUCGCCAGCCCACCUCUCCUGAGAGUCCAACAGUGAGCAUAAUAGCCCCACAUCCGCUAGCAAGACAGGUCAAGGUAUAGCCUAUGGGAUGGAAGAAAUGGGCUACAUUUUCUAAGAUAGACAAUUUCACGGAAGGGGACAUGAAACCGUCCCUAAAAGGCGGAUUUAGCAGUAAAGCGGGAUAAUAAAGCCCCCUUUAAACUGGCCCUGAGGCACGUACAUACCGCCCGUCACCCUCCUCACAAGCUACACACACACAUAACUAAUACGUUCCCCCACCAGCUGAAGACGAGGUAAGUCGUAACAA